rnacentral:lncRNA from 1 species
GCGGGGAGCGCAGGUAUGGUCUCUCUACAUCCACGUCAAAACCUAUGCAACCUGAAGACAAGCUCGGGCUUAUGGUCUUUCAGCGUACAGACAAUGACAACAAAUGUGCCAUGUCCUUCGAGGAUGAGAUCUUUCUAAAGAUUAUGGAGAAAGAAGUCCAUCAGGAUGAAAAGAACAAUUGGGUGGCUCCCUUACCGUUCAAGUCACCUCGUCCCCCACUCCCGAACAACAGAGAGCAAGCACUGUCCCGCCUUAGGUCUUUAAGACGCACUCUGAGCAAAAACGCGGAGAUGAAGCAACAGUUUUCCUCCUUCAUGGAAAAGCUCUUCGAGAACAAACAUGCAGAGAAGGCACUGCCCAUCCACGAGAAGCAAGAAUGUUGGUACCUGCCCAUUUUCGGGGUGUACCAUCCGCAGAAGCCAGGGCAGAUACGAGUCGUGUUUGACUCAAGCGCCCAACAACACGGUGUCUCCCUCAACUCAGUGCUGCUUACAGGCCCCGAUCUGAACAAUACUCUCCUGGGUGUGCUGUUACGGUUUAGGAAGGAUCUCAUCGCAGUCACUGCUGAUAUCCAACAGAUGUUUUAUGGAUUCCUGGUAAAGCACGACCACAGAGACUACCUGAGAUUCCUGUGGCAUAAAGACAAUGACCUAUCCAAAGAGAUAGAAGAAUAUCGCAUGCGAGUGCAUGUCUUUGGCAAUAGCCCAUCCCCGGCGGUUGCUAUCUACGGUCUGCGGCGAGCUGCUCAGAAAGGAGAACCAAAGUAUGGAGCUGACACAAGGCACUUUGUUGAAAGACACUUCUAUGUGGACGAUGGGCUCAUAUCCCUUCCUACAGAGUCUACAGCUAUAGACCUACUGAAGCGUACUUGUGCAUCACUUGCAGAGUCUAACCUGAAGCUGCACAAAAUCGCAUCAAACAGCGUCACUGUGAUGAAAGCCUUCAAACCAGAAGAACUGGCCUCAGGCAUCCAAGACCUGGGUCUAGAUGAUGAGACUCUGCCGGCC